rnacentral:rRNA from 2 species
UGCAGUCGAGCGGUAGCACAGAGAGCUUGCUCUCGGGUGACGAGCGGCGGACGGGUGAGUAAUGUCUGGGAAACUGCCUGAUGGAGGGGGAUAACUACUGGAAACGGUAGCUAAUACCGCAUAACGUCGCAAGACCAAAGUGGGGGACCUUCGGGCCUCAUGCCAUCAGAUGUGCCCAGAUGGGAUUAGCUAGUAGGUGGGGUAACGGCUCACCUAGGCGACGAUCCCUAGCUGGUCUGAGAGGAUGACCAGCCACACUGGAACUGAGACACGGUCCAGACUCCUACGGGAGGCAGCAGUGGGGAAUAUUGCACAAUGGGCGCAAGCCUGAUGCAGCCAUGCCGCGUGUAUGAAGAAGGCCUUCGGGUUGUAAAGUACUUUCAGCGGGGAGGAAGGCGAUAAGGUUAAUAACCUUGUCGAUUGACGUUACCCGCAGAAGAAGCACCGGCUAACUCCGUGCCAGCAGCCGCGGUAAUACGGAGGGUGCAAGCGUUAAUCGGAAUUACUGGGCGUAAAGCGCACGCAGGCGGUCUGUCAAGUCGGAUGUGAAAUCCCCGGGCUCAACCUGGGAACUGCAUUCGAAACUGGCAGGCUAGAGUCUUGUAGAGGGGGGUAGAAUUCCAGGUGUAGCGGUGAAAUGCGUAGAGAUCUGGAGGAAUACCGGUGGCGAAGGCGGCCCCCUGGACAAAGACUGACGCUCAGGUGCGAAAGCGUGGGGAGCAAACAGGAUUAGAUACCCUGGUAGUCCACGCCGUAAACGAUGUCGAUUUGGAGGUUGUGCCCUUGAGGCGUGGCUUCCGGAGCUAACGCGUUAAAUCGACCGCCUGGGGAGUACGGCCGCAAGGUUAAAACUCAAAUGAAUUGACGGGGGCCCGCACAAGCGGUGGAGCAUGUGGUUUAAUUCGAUGCAACGCGAAGAACCUUACCUGGUCUUGACAUCCACAGAACUUAGCAGAGAUGGUUUGGUGCCUUCGGGAACUGUGAGACAGGUGCUGCAUGGCUGUCGUCAGCUCGUGUUGUGAAAUGUUGGGUUAAGUCCCGCAACGAGCGCAACCCUUAUCCUUUGUUGCCAGCGGUCCGGCCGGGAACUCAAAGGAGACUGCCAGUGAUAAACUGGAGGAAGGUGGGGAUGACGUCAAGUCAUCAUGGCCCUUACGACCAGGGCUACACACGUGCUACAAUGGCGCAUACAAAGAGAAGCGACCUCGCGAGAGCAAGCGGACCUCAUAAAGUAUGUCGUAGUCCGGAUUGGAGUCUGCAACUCGACUCCAUGAAGUCGGAAUCGCUAGUAAUCGUAGAUCAGAAUGCUACGGUGAAUACGUUCCCGGGCCUUGUACACACCGCCCGUCACACCAUGGGAGUGGGUUGCAAAAGAAGUAGGUAGCUUAACCUUCGGGAGGGCGCUACC